GCCCCCAUCGUCUAGCGGCCCAGGACAUCGCCCUCUCACGGCGAAGACAGGGGUUCAAAUCCCCUUGGGGGUACCA
rnacentral:tRNA from 1 species